GAUGAAGAACGGCAGCGAAAUGCGAUAAGUAAUGUGAAUUGCAGAAUUCAGUGAAUCAUCGAAUCUUUGAACGCACAUUGCGCCCGCCAGUAUUCUGGCGGGCAUGCCUGUUCGAGCGUCAUUUCAACCCUCAAGCCCCCGGGCUUGGUGUUGGGGAUCGGCGUGCCCUCGCGGCGCGCCGUCCCCUAAAUCUAGUGGCGGUCUCGCUGUAGCUUCCUCUGCGUAGUAGCAACACUCGCACUGGAUCGCAGCGCGGCCACGCCGUUAAACCCCCCACUUCUGAAAGUUUGACCUCGGAUCAGGUAGGAAUACCCGCUGAACUUAAGCAUAUCAAUAAGCGGAGGA
rnacentral:misc_RNA from 1 species